rnacentral:pre_miRNA from 15 species
CAUGUCGUUAAAAUGUCUGUGACCGUAUGUAUUCACUAUCAUAUCACAGCCAUUUUGACGAGUUUGG